CCUAGUAGCGGCGAGCGAAGCGGGAAGAGCUCAAAUUUAUAAUCUGGCACCUUCGGUGUCCGAGUUGUAAUCUCUAGAAAUGUUUUCCGCGUUGGACCGCACACAAGUCUGUUGGAAUACAGCGGCAUAGUGGUGAGACCCCCGUAUAUGGUGCGGACGCCCAGCGCUUUGUGAUACAUUUUCGAAGAGUCGAGUUGUUUGGGAAUGCAGCUCAAAUUGGGUGGUAAAUUCCAUCUAAAGCUAAAUAUUGGCGAGAGACCGAUAGCGAACAAGUACCGUGAGGGAAAGAUGAAAAGCACUUUGGAAAGAGAGUUAACAGUACGUGAAAUUGUUGGAAGGGAAACGCUUGAAGUCAGACUUGCUUGCCGAGCAAUCGGUUUGCAGGCCAGCAUCAGUUUUCCGGGAUGGAUAAUGGUAGAGAGAAGGUAGCAGUUUCGGCUGUGUUAUAGCUCUCUGCUGGAUACAUCUUGGGGGACUGAGGAACGCAGUGUGCCUUUGGCGGGGGUUUCGACCUCUUCACACUUAGGAUGCUGGUGGAAUGGCUUUAAAUGGUCCGUCUUGAACACCGGAC
rnacentral:rRNA from 1 species